GGAGCAAUCCUUGGUGGCGAGUGGCGAACCGGGUGAGUAAUAUAUCGGAACGUGCCUUAUAGUGGGGGAUAACGCAGCGAAAGUUGCGGUAAUACCGCAUACGCCCUGAGGGGGAAAGCGGGGGAUCGAAAGACCUCGCGCUACUAGAGCGGCCGAUAUCUGAUUAGCUAGUUGGUGAGGUAAAGGCUCACCAAGGCUUCGAUCAGUAGCUGGUCUGAGAGGACGAUCAGCCACACUGGGACUGAGACACGGCCCAGACUCCUACGGGAGGCAGCAGUGGGGAAUUUUGGACAAUGGGGGCAACCCUGAUCCAGCAAUGCCGCGUGAGUGAAGAAGGCCUUCGGGUUGUAAAGCUCUUUUGUCAGGGAAGAAACAGCAGCUCUAACACAGCUGUGAAUGACGGUACCUGAAGAAUAAGCACCGGCUAACUACGUGCCAGCAGCCGCGGUAAUACGUAGGGUGCAAGCGUUAAUCGGAAUUACUGGGCGUAAAGCGUGCGCAGGCGGUUAUACAAGACAGGCGUGAAAUCCCCGGGCUUAACCUGGGAAUUGCGUCUGUGACUGUAUGGCUAGAGUGUGUCAGAGGGGGGUAGAAUUCCACGUGUAGCAGUGAAAUGCGUAGAUAUGUGGAGGAAUACCAAUGGCGAAGGCAGCCCC
rnacentral:rRNA from 1 species